rnacentral:rRNA from 1 species
CCUACGGGAGGCAGCAGUGGGGGAUAUUGCACAAUGGGGGAAACCCUGAUGCAGCGACGCCGCGUGGGUGAAGAAGCGCCUCGGCGCGUAAAGCCCUGUCAGCAGGGAAGAAAAUGACGGUACCUGAAGAAGAAGCCCCGGCUAACUACGUGCCAGCAGCCGCGGUAAUACGUAGGGUGCCAGCGUUAUCCGGAUUUACUGGGUGUAAAGGGGGCGCAGACGGCGAUGCAAGACAGGAGUGAAAGCCCGGGGCCCAACCCCGGGACUGCUGUUGGAACUGGGUGGCUAGAGUGCAGGAGGGGUAGGCGGAAUUCGUGGUGUAGCGGUGAAAUGCGUAGAGAGCAGGAGGAACACCGGUGGCGAAGGCAGCCUGCUGGACUGCAACUGACGUUGAGGCCCGAAAGCGUGGGGAGCAAACAGGAUUAGAUACCCGAGUAGUC